AGUAUGCAUGAUGUUUGGCUAGGCCACUCGGCUCCCCGUGCAGGGUGCAUCAAUGACGCUACUCCCAGCCACCAAUCGCCGGCCAUACUGGGGGUCUCUCGUCUUGGCCGUGGAGGUGGGCAACACGGAUCAGAUCAUUCAGAUGGCCUGAUUGGGUGGACGGAGAUGUGAUGUGAUGAGAGCUUCGGUGAAAUCAUUUGCAGCUUGCAUCAGAGCGGCAACAUGUCGACUACGUAUGUUGGAUGAUGGCAGAAACAAAGGGAAACGCAACAUUCCAACCCAACCCAGUUUGUUCUUGAUUUUCCAUUUUUCUUUCCGUAAAUGAAUAUCUCCCAUUUGGUUCGGCUGCUGUGACUUCGUUCUCCGUGUUCGUGUGGAGGAUGUUGCUGGUGGUCGUUGUCAAGGUGGCCGGGCAUGGAUGGGGCUGGCUGGCUAAAUAAGUUAUUUGAUCCUUGGAGCUGACACCAAUGAUGGACGGGCGACUCAGGGCGUGUUGGUGAUUGAGUUACAUAUCUUUGUUCCUUUGUUUAGACGCUCUUCGAUUCCUAUAUUUUUUCUUUUUCUUUCUUCAUUCUUAACAGGAAACAGCUCGUUCCGCAAAACAUAGGAAAGCCCAUGCUCGAUGUGAUAUUCACAUAUAUACGGAGCAUACUAGUAUUUUAUCUAUAGCCUU
rnacentral:sRNA from 2 species